AAAUGAAUAGACGGGGGCCCGCACAAGCAGUGGAGUAUGUGGUUUAAUUCGAAGCAACGCGAAGAACCUUACCAGGUCUUGACAUCUGCCGGAUCCCGCGGAGACGCGGGGGUGCCCUUCGGGGAGCGGCAAGACAGGUGGUGCAUGGUUGUCGUCAGCUCGUGUCGUGAGAUGUUGGGUUAAGUCCCGCAACGAGCGCAACCCUUGUGAUUAGUUGCUACGCAAGAGCACUCUAAUCAGACUGCCGUUGACAAAACGGAGGAAGGUGGGGAUGACGUCAAAUCAUCAUGCCCCUUAUGACCUGGGCUACACACGUACUACAAUGGCCGCGCACAGAGGGAAGCGAAACCGCGAGGCGGAGCGAACCCCCAAAAACGGUCUCAGUUCGGAUCGCAGGCUGCAACCCGCCUGCGUGAAGCUGGAAUUGCUAGUAAUCGCGGAUCAUCAUGCCGCGGUGAAUACGUUCCCGGGCCUUGUACACACCGCCCGU
rnacentral:rRNA from 1 species